rnacentral:rRNA from 1 species
AGGACGAACGCUGGCGGCGUGCUUAACACAUGCAAGUCGAGCGGUAAGGCCUCUUCGGGGGUACACGAGCGGCGAACGGGUGAGUAACACGUGAGUGACCUGCCCUCAGCUCUGGGAUAAGCCUGGGAAACUGGGUCUAAUACCGGAUAUGACUUGGCCUCGCAUGGGGUUGGGUGGAAAGUCCUGGGCUUUGUUGUCUGGGUUCGGCUGGGGAUGGGCCCGCGGCCUAUCAGCUUGUUGUGGGUGAUGGCUUACCAAGGCGACGACGGGUAGCCGGCCUGAGAGGGCGACGGCCACGACUGGGACUGAGACACGGCCCAGACUCCUACGGGAGGCAGCAGUGGGGAAUAUUGCGCAAUGGGCGGAAAGCCUGACGCAGCGACGCCGCGUGGGGGAUGACGGCCUCGGUUGUAAACUCUUACGUCAUCGACGAAGGACCUUCGGUUGGUACGGUAGGUGAGAAGAAGACGACGCCGAACUACGU